AGUGAACGCUGGCGGUAGGCCUAACACAUGCCAGUCGAACGGCAGCACAGUAAGAGCUUGCUCUUACGGGUGGCGAGUGGCGGACGGGUGAGGAAUACAUCGGAAUCUACUUUUUCGUGGGGGAUAACGUAGGGAAACUUACGCUAAUACCGCAUACGACCUACGGGUGAAAGCAGGGGAUCUUCGGGCCUUGCGCGAUUGAAUGAGCCGAUGUCGGAUUAGCUAGUUGGCGGGGUAAAGGCCCACCAAGGCGACGAUCCGUAGCUGGUCUGAGAGGAUGAUCAGCCACACUGGAACUGAGACACGGUCCAGACUCCUACGGGAGGCAGCAGUGGGGAAUAUUGGACAAUGGGCGCAAGCCUGAUCCAGCCAUACCGCGUGGGCGAAGAAGGCCUUCGGGUUGUAAAGCCCUUUUGUUGGGAAAGAAAAGCAGCAGGUUAAUACCCCGCUGUUCGGACGGUACCCAAAGAAUAAGCACCGGCUAACUUCGU
rnacentral:rRNA from 1 species